rnacentral:tRNA from 1 species
GGGGUCGUGGUGUAACAGGCAGCACGGCGGACUUUUAAUCCGUACGGUGUGGGUUCGAUUCCCUCCGGCCCUA